UGCAGAUCAUUCAUAGUUCUC
rnacentral:siRNA from 1 species